ACAGUUUUGGGAGAGGCAGUACCUACUUAGUCGGACGGAACUGACCUGAACAGAACCUCGUCUCCUCAAGAUGGCUGCAGUUAACCUAGAUAAUACAACCUCAAGCGACGCCGGCAACAAACACCCCCAACUAGGAUUCGGCUGUCCAGAAGAUUCAGAGACAGUGACAACGGCCAUCUGCAG